CACUUAUUUUUAUGGGUAUUGGUUUAGCCAAGGGCUGGCCUGAUACCAGGCGGCCCACUCCAGACGGGCCGCCCACCGCACUACUCAGCAACCCCCGGUCGGCCACCCGACCGGGGG
rfam:Pseudomonas bauzanensis strain CGMCC 1.9095 genome assembly, contig: Ga0066784_103